rnacentral:rRNA from 1 species
GCUACUGUGCCAGCUGGUGAAUGGCUCGGCUCGAGAGCCGAAGACGGACGUGCCAAGCUGCGAUAAGCCUCAGGGACCCGCAUGGAGGGAAAGAACUGAGGAUCUCCGAAUGGGAAUCCCCUCGCAAUUGCUUCGCGCAAUGGGGAACGCUCCGAAUUGAAACAUCUCAGUAGGAGCAGGAAGAGAACGCAAAUCGCGAUCCCGUUAGUAACCGCGAGUGAACGCGGGCCAGCCCAAACCGAAUCUCUCACGAGACAUGUGGUGUAGGCUGACGAUCAGCGUCCGACCCGUCCCGAGAAGUCUCCUGAAACGGAGCGCGAUACAGGGUGACAGCCCCGUAUCGGGAUGCAGUACGACGUGAGUCAGUUCAAGAGUAGCGGGGAUUGGAUAUUCCUCGUGAACGUCCCGGGCAUCAACCGGGAAGGCUAAACACUCCUCGAGACCGAUAGCGAACAAGUAGCGUGAGCGAACGCUGAAAAGUAUCCCGAGAAGGGAACUGAAAUAGAGCCUGAACUCAGUUGGCGAUCGAGCGACGGGGCAUACAAGGUCCUUCGACAAACGACCGCGGGGCGACCCGCUAGUAGGACUCGAAGGAAGCCGAUGUUCCGUCGUGCGUUUUGAAAAACGAACCAGGGAGUGCACUUGCUUGGCAAGCCUAACUCGACUAUCGAGGAAGGCACAGGGAAACCGAUACGGCCGCAGUCUUACGACCAGGGCCACCGUGUUCAAGCGCGGGGAGUCAAGCGGGUGCGACCCGAAACCGGGUGAUCUACGCGUGGGCAGGGUGAAGCGUGGCGAAAGCCACGUGGAGGCCCGUUAGGGGUGGUGUCCUACAAUACCCUCCCGUGACCUAUGCGUAGGGGUGAAAGGCCCAUCGAACCCGGCAACAGCUGGUUCCAGCCGAAACAUGUCGAAGCAUGACCUCUUCUGAGGUAGUCCGCGAGGUAGAGCUACCGAUUGGAAGACCCGCCUCCGAGAGGAGUCGGCCUUCCUGUCGAACUCCGAACUUGCGGACGCCGUAGACGAAGGGAGUCCGGUGUGCGGGGUAAGCCUGUGCACCGUAAGGGAGACAACCCAGCGGUAGGUUAAGGUCCCCAAGUGUAGAUUAAGUGCGAUCGAAGGUGGUCCCGAGCCCUAGACAGCCGGGAGGUGAGCUUAGAAGCAGCUACCCUCUAAGAAAAGCGUAACAGCUUACCGGCCGAGGUUCGGGGCGCCCAAAAUGAUCGGGGCUCAAAUCUACCACCGAGACCUACCCGUGUCCUUCACCGGACAAUCGCGUAGGCUGGCACUCCGUUCGGACGGAAGCGCGGGCGAGAGUUCGUGUGGACCGAGCGGUGACGAUAAUCCUGGUCAUAGUAGCAGCGAGAGUCGGGUGUGACCCCCGACGGCCUUACGAGCAAGGGUUCCUCGGCACUGCCAAUCAGCCGAGGGUUAGUCGAUCCUAAGUCUCGCCGUAAUUCGACCGAGACAACAGGGAAGCUGGUUAAUAUUCCAGCACCACUACUCAUUGAAAGUUGACGCUUUGGGGACAGCCGAGCCGGGCCUUCGCCCGGUCGAAUCAGGUACCGCCGUGGAAGCCGUAAUGGCAGGAAGCGGCCAAAUCCUGAGAUAGCGCAAGUCGGCCGUACCUAGAGCCCGUGAAAAGACGAGAGUAGUGAUCGUACCGAGAUCCGACACAGGUGCUCUGCCGGCGAAAGGCAAGGCCCGUCGGGAGCAACCGGCGUUAGGGAAUUCGGCAAGUUAGUCCCGUACGUUCGCAAUAAGGGAUGCCUGCCUCGGAGAGAGGCAGGUCGCAGUGACUCGGGCGCUCCGACUGUCUAGUAACAACAUAGGUGACCGCAAAUCCGCAAGGACUCGUACGGUCACUGAAUCCUGCCCAGUGCGGGUAUCUGAACACCUCGUACAAGAGGACGAAGGACCCGUCAACGGCGGGGGUAACUAUGACCCUCUUAAGGUAGCGUAGUACCUUGCCGCUUCAGUAGCGGCUUGCAUGAAUGGAUCAACGAGAGCGCCACUGUCCCAACGCUGGGCCCGGUGAACUGUACGUUCCAGUGCGGAGUCUGGAGACCCCCAAGGGGAAGCGAAGACCCUAUAGAGCUUUACUGCAGGCUGUCGCUGAGACGUGGUCGCUACUGUGCAGCAUAGGUAGGAGGCAUUACACAGGUACCCGCGCUAGCGGGCCACCGAGCCACCAUUGAAAUACUACCCGGUAGUGACUGCGACUCUCACUCCUGGCGGAGGACACCGGUAGCCGGGCAGUUUGACUGGGGCGGUACGCGCUCGAAAAGAUAUCGAGCGCGCCCGAUGGUCUCCUCAUCCGGGUCGGGAACCCGGAAGAGAGCGCAAGAGCACAAGGAGGCCUGACAGUGAUCUUCCCAACGAGGAUCGCUGACGCGAAAGCGUGGUCUAGCGAACCCACGAGGUUCAUUAAUGGGACCCGUGGAUGACAGAAAAGCUACCUUAGGGAUAACAGAGUCGUCACUCGCAAGAGCACAUAUCGACCGAGUGGCUUGCUACCUCGAUGUCGGUUCCCUCCAUCCUGCCCGUGCAGAAGCGGGCAAGGGUGAGGUUGUUCGCCUAUUAAAGGAGGUCGUGAGCUGGGUUUAGACCGUCGUGAGACAGGUCGGCUGCUAUCUAUUGGGGGUGUUGAGGUACCUGACGGGAACAAGCGUAUAGUACGAGAGGAACUCCGCUUGGGUGCCACUGGUGUACCGGUUGUUCGAGAGAGCAGAUGCCGGGCAGCCACGCACCACGGGGUAAGAGCUGAACGCAUCUAAGCUCGAAACCCACCUGGAAAAGAGGUACCACCGAGGACACUCGUAGAAGACGAGUUCGAUAGACUCGGGGUGUACGCGUCGAGGCAACGAGACGUUCAGCCCGCGAGCACUAACAGUCCAAGCC